AGAGUUUGAUCCUGGCUCAGGAUGAACGCUGGCGGCGUGCUUAACACAUGCAAGUCGAACGAGGGCUUGUUUGAAAGCGGCUUCGGCCAAUUGAAGACAAGACCGAGUGGCGGACGGGUGAGUAACGCGUGGGUAACCUGCCUAUCACAGGGGGAUAACAGUUAGAAAUGACUGCUAAUACCGCAUAAGCAUACAGCAUCGCAUGAUGCAGUGUGAAAAGCUCCGACGGUGAUAGAUGGACCCGCGUCUGAUUAGCUAGUUGGUGAGGUAACGGCCCACCAAGGCGACGAUCAGUAGCCGAACUGAGAGGUUGACCGGCCACAUUGGGACUGAGACACGGCCCAAACUCCUACGGGAGGCAGCAAUGGGGGAUAUUGCACAAUGGGGGAAACCCUGAUGCAGCGACGCCGCGUGAGUGAUGAAGUAUUUCGGUAUGUAAAGCUCUAUCAGCAGGGAAGAAAAUGACGGUACCUGACUAAGAAGCCCCGGCUAACUACGUGCCAGCAGCCGCGGUAAUACGUAGGGGGCAAGCGUUAUCCGGAUUUACUGGGUGUAAAGGGUGCGUAGGUGGUAUGGUAAGUCAGAAGUGAAAACCCAGGGCUCAACUUUGGGACUGCUUUUGAAACUAUCAAACUAGAGUGCAGGUGGGGUAAGCGGAAUUCCUAGUGUAGCGGUGAAAUGCGUAGAUAUUAGGAAGAACACCAGAGGCGAAGGCGACUUACUGGCCUGCAACUGACACUGAGGCACGAAAGCGUGGGGAGCAAACAGGAUUAGAUACCCUGGUAGUCCACGCUGUAAACGAUGAUUACUAGGUAUGGGAGGUAUCGACUCCUUCCGUGCCGCAGCUAACGCAAUAAGUAAUCCGCCUGGGGAGUACGGCCGCAAGGUUGAAACUCAAAGAAAUUGACGGGGACCCGCACAAGCAGCGGAGCAUGUGGUUUAAUUCGACGCAACGCGAAAAACCUUACCAGGUCUUGACAUCCUUUGACCGCCUGAGAGAUCAGGUUUCUCUAGCAAUAGAGCAGAGAGACAGGUGGUGCAUGGUUGUCGUCAGCUCGUGUCGUGAGAUGUUCGGUUAAGUCCGACAACGAGCGCAACCCUUGUAUAUAGUUGCCAAUAUUAAGUUAGGAACUCUAUAUAAACUGCCGUGGCUAACACGGAGGAAGGUGGGGAUGACGUCAAAUCAUCACGCCCCUUACGACCUGGGCCACACACGUGCUACAAUGGCUAUUACAAAGAGCAGCGAAGCUGUAAAGUGGAGCGAAUCUCAAAAAGAUAGUCUCAGUUCAGAUUGUGGGCUGCAACCCGCCCACAUGAAGUAGGAGUUGCUAGUAAUCCCGAAUCAGCAUGUCGGGGUGAAUGCGUUCCCGGGUCUUGCACACACCGCCGGUCA
rnacentral:rRNA from 1 species